GACGAACGCUGGCGGCGUGCUUAACACAUGCAAGUCGAACGGAAAGGCCCUGCUUUUGUGGGGUGCUCGAGUGGCGAACGGGUGAGUAACACGUGAGUAACCUGCCCUUUACUUUGGGAUAACUUCAGGAAACUGGGGCUAAUACCGGAUAGGAGUUCCUGCUGCAUGGUGGGGGUUGGAAAGUUUCGGCGGUUGGGGAUGGACUCGCGGCUUAUCAGCUUGUUGGUGGGGUAGUGGCUUACCAAGGCUUUGACGGGUAGCCGGCCUGAGCGGGUGACCGGCCACCUUGGGCCUGGUAUACGGCCCAGCCUCCUACGGGACACAGCACUGGGGAAUAUUGCACGAUGGGCAGAAGCCUGAUGCAGCAACGCCGCGUGCGGGAUCACGGCCUUCGAGUUGUACACUGCUUUCGCCUGUGACGAAGCGUGAGUUCCGGUAAUGCGUAAAGCAGCCCCGGCUAACUACGUG
rnacentral:rRNA from 1 species